rnacentral:miRNA from 1 species
GUCUUGAUGACCGGAAGGGAUUCCUUCCGGUCAUCGAGAUCAUACAAUCUCGAUGGCCGGAAGGGAUUCCUUCCGGUCAUCGAGAC